rnacentral:rRNA from 1 species
UUGAACGCUGGCGGCAGGCCUAACCCAUGCAAGUCGAGCGGAUGAAGGGAGCUUGCUCCUGGAUUCAGCGGCGGACGGGUGAGUAAUGCCUAGGAAUCUGCCUGGUAGUGGGGGAUAACGUCCGGAAACGGGCGCUAAUACCGCAUACGUCCUGAGGGAGAAAGUGGGGGAUCUUCGGACCUCACGCUAUCAGAUGAGCCUAGGUCGGAUUAGCUAGUUGGUGGGGUAAAGGCCUACCAAGGCGACGAUCCGUAACUGGUCUGAGAGGAUGAUCAGUCACACUGGAACUGAGACAAGGUCCAGACUCCUAAGGGAGGCAGCAGUGGGGAAUAUUGGACAAUGGGCGAAAGCCUGAUCCAGCCAUGCAGCGUGUGUGAAGAAGGUCUUCGGAUUGUAAAGCACUUUAAGUUGGGAGGAAGGGCAGUAAGUUAAUACCUUGCUGUUUUGACGUUACCAACAGAAUAAGCACCGGCUAACAUCGUG